AAAAUGAGGAGUUAAGAGUUCAUUCGGAUGUCCAGAUGUAUGCAAGUACCCAAUUAUUGGCAAUAAAUACAUCUGGGCAACUGAUUGAACUUUUCGCUUUCCAUGACUC
ensembl:miRNA